CCAAAAUUUCUUUUCUUCCUUCUCUUCCGAUCAGUCCCAUCGCCAUCUCCAUUCAAAUCGUCGUCAUCAGCCCCUUUACUCCGACAACCACCCAUUGUAGCCAUCCGUGCAUUCAAGUCAUUCGUCGCAUUUGAAGUUGCCGCAUUUUGUCCGUGCGCAUCAACCUUCGCCGUUCGUGGAAACCAGUUGCCACUGGUGUAAGCCGUCCUUCUCCGUCGACGGCGCCUUCUUUUCCAGCUAAGCCCGUUCCUCAAUUCGAACCAUUCGCGUCCGUCACCUUCAAGCUUAUUCGCACCGCCCACUCUACCAAUUCAAGCCACCAUUGGGUUUUCUUGCAACCACUUGGUUUGUUUUUGCACGUCGUUGUUGGCUCAAUUCGUGCGUAGAUUUUGCUCAUUGUGUCGUUGGGUUGUAGCCCUCGAAUUCCUUAAGUUCCAACCAGUUUGGUUGAAGUUCAAUUCUCCAUCACUUUGGUUGAUUUGCUGGAUUUUAGUUUGAUUAAGGAACGUAACUAAAUUUCAGUAAAGGUAACGUGCGAGGUAGAUCGGCGAGGGACAAGAAGGAUACAUGAAUUUCAUAUGGGGAUGCUUUUUUCUUUAUGCUUCUUUAAGAAUUGAAAAUGAGUCAUGUUUAGGAUAUUUAUUCAUUUGUUUUGUUUUUUAUAAUUUCCUAGACGACUGUAUGAAUGUUUGAAUUUGUUUUGA